GAAUAUAUUAGGCACUCAAUACAGUUAUUGUGGAAUCAAUAAAUAGCUGACUGAUCUAACAGAAAUACCACAAAAUAUAAAAAUACCAAAAUAUCCCCAAUGAAACAGGAAAAUUAGUAUCUUUGUUUAGGUAAAGGAGAAAAUGUAGAUUAGGAGGCAUAGAAGCGGAUGGAGCCUAUGGUUCUUGCAACAGGUAGUGGUGGUCUGGGGACACUGAUUGAGAAUAAUCAUAAUAAUGUUUAAAAUAUAUUGAGCACUUUUUUGACAUUAUAUCAUGUGUUGGUCAUUGAUUCCUGCUAACAACCUUGGGGUUGUUAUCAUCGCCUUUUCAUAAAUGGAGUUGAGGCUUAGAGAAAAGGCAGUUACUUUCUCAAGGUCACAUAGCUGUUAAGUAUGGAUUUGAACCCAGUCUAAUGCCAGAGUCUCUGCGCUAAAGCACAGUGCACACCUCUGAGACUGGUGUCAGGCCCGAGUCGGAUAAGAAUGUGUUUUUUUCUAGGCUUGGUAUAUCAGAAGCAGUUUCUCUGCUGCCAACAAUAGUUUCUUGUCUUGUCCUUGGCCAGGAGAUUUUCACGGCUCAAGGGCCACCCUUCUGCCUAGCAGCAGAGAGAGUUGUGAUCCAGGACGCACUGCUGAAGGAGACAAGCAAACCAGCAUGGUUGCGUCAGGCCAUCAUGUGUUCAAAUGGCAUUGGAGGUGGAGGGGAAGGCAGUGGUGGAGCCGCUGGGAGCACGGUGGAGCCUCCUGGAGCUGGCUUUGACCUUGUCCAUCCUGUUGGUUGCCUGGAGAGAACAUUCUGGAUUAGCAGAUUGUGAAGGAGGGGCAAAGAUGGGUGGGGGUCAGGGGAUAAGCCUGUCCUUUUUUUAAAAAAAAAUAAAAACACAAAAACUCCAGCACCUUCAGUAUAUCCCUUGUGUCAUGGAGGCAGAAGGAAGCACUCUUGAAACGGACAGAGCCUCUUUCUUGGACGCCACACAAGCCUCCCAACCUCAGCUGCCC